UGAGUUUGAUCCUGGCUCAGGAUGAACGUUGGCGGCGUGCCUAAUACAUGCAAGUCGAACGGGAAGGCGGCUUUCGGGUCGCUGGAGAGUGGCUGAACGGGUGAGUAACGCGUAACUGAUCUGCCCCAUAGACUGGGAUAACCUUUGGAAACAGAGGCUAAUACGGGAUGAACUUGGCGGAGUUAGGUUUCUGCUGAGGAAAGGUUUAGGCGCUAUGGGAUGAGGUUGCGGUCCAUCAGCUAGUUGGUGAGGUAAAGGCUCACCAAGGCGAUGACGGAUAGGGGAUCUGAGAGGGUGGCCCCCCACACUGGGACUGAGACACGGCCCAGACUCCUACGGGAGGCAGCAGUAAGGGAUAUUGCACAAUGGGCGGAAGCCUGAUGCAGCGACGCCGCGUGGGCGAAGAAGGUUUUCGGAUCGUAAAGUCCUUUUCUAUGUGACGAGGU
rnacentral:rRNA from 1 species